UACGAAGGGGGCUAGCGUUACUCGGAUUGACUGGGCGUAAAGGGCGCGUAGGCGGUUCGUACAGUCAGACGUGAAAUUCCUGGGCUCAACCUGGGGGCUGCGUUUGAUACGUGCGGGCUUGAGUUCGGAAGAGGGUCGUGGAAUUCCCAGUGUAGAGGUGAAAUUCGUAGAUAUUGGGAAGAACACCGGGUGGCGAAGGCGGCGACCUGGUCCGAUACUGACGCUGAGGCGCGAAAGCGUGGGGAGCAAACAGG
rnacentral:rRNA from 1 species